rnacentral:rRNA from 1 species
UAGGGAAUCUUCCACAAUGGGCGCAAGCCUGAUGGAGCAACACCGCGUGAGUGAAGAAGGGUUUCGGCUCGUAAGGCUCUGUUGUUAAAGAAGAACACGUAUGAGAGUAACUGUUCAUACGUUGACGGUAUUUAACCAGAAAGUCACGGCUAACUACGUGCCAG